GAAGGUGUGUCGUGAGGCAUGCUGGAGGUAUCAGAAGUGCGAAUGCUGACAUAAGUAACGAUAAAGCGGGUGAAAAGCCCGCUCGCCGGAAGACCAAGGGUUCCUGUCCAACGUUAAUCGGGGCAGGGUGAGUCGACCCCUAAGGCGAGGCCGAAAGGCGUAGUCGAUGGGAAACGGGUUAAUAUUCCCGUACUUGGUGUUACUGCGAAGGGGGGACGGAGAAGGCUAUGUUGGCCGGGCGACGGUUGUCCCGGUUUAAGCGUGUAGGUGUGUGUUCCAGGUAAAUCCGGUUCACUUUAACACUGAGGCGUGACGACGAGGCACUACGGUGCUGAAGCAACAAAUGCCCUGCUUCCAGGAAAAGCCUCUAAGCAUCAGGUAACAUCAAAUCGUACCCCAAACCGACACAGGUGGUCAGGUAGAGAAUACCAAGGCGCUUGAGAGAACUCGGGUGAAGGAACUAGGCAAAAUGGUGCCGUAACUUCGGGAGAAGGCACGCUGACACGUAGGUGAAGUGAUUUACUCAUGGAGCUGAAGUCAGUCGAAGAUACCAGCUGGCUGCAACUGUUUAUUAAAAACACAGCACUGUGCAAACACGAAAGUGGACGUAUACGGUGUGACGCCUGCCCGGUGCCGGAAGGUUAAUUGAUGGGGUCAGCGCAAGCGAAGCUCCUGAUCGAAGCCCCGGUAAACGGCGGCCGUAACUAUAACGGUCCUAAGGUAGCGAAAUUCCUUGUCGGGUAAGUUCCGACCUGCACGAAUGGCGUAAUGAUGGCCAGGCUGUCUCCACCCGAGACUCAGUGAAAUUGAACUCGCUGUGAAGAUGCAGUGUACCUGCGGCAAGACGGAAAGACCCCGUGAACCUUUACUAUAGCUUGACACUGAACAUUGAGCCUUGAUGUGUAGGAUAGGUGGGAGGCUUUGAAGUGUGGACGCCAGUCUGCAUGGAGCCGACCUUGAAAUACCACCCUUUAAUGUUUGAUGUUCUAACGUGGACCCGUUACCCGGGUUGCGGACAGUGUCUGGUGGGUAGUUUGACUGGGGCGGUCUCCUCCUAAAGAGUAACGGAGGAGCACGAAGGUUGGCUAAUCCUGGUCGGACAUCAGGAGGUUAGUGCAAUGGCAUAAGCCAGCUUGACUGCGAGCGUGACGGCGCGAGCAGGUGCGAAAGCAGGUCAUAGUGAUCCGGUGGUUCUGAAUGGAAGGGCCAUCGCUCAACGGAUAAAAGGUACUCCGGGGAUAACAGGCUGAUACCGCCCAAGAGUUCAUAUCGACGGCGGUGUUUGGCACCUCGAUGUCGGCUCAUCACAUCCUGGGGCUGAAGUAGGUCCCAAGGGUAUGGCUGUUCGCCAUUUAAAGUGGUACGCGAGCUGGGUUUAGAACGUCGUGAGACAGUUCGGUCCCUAUCUGCCGUGGGCGCUGGAGAACUGAGGGGGGCUGCUCCUAGUACGAGAGGACCGGAGUGGACGCAUCACUGGUGUUCGGGUUGUCAUGCCAAUGGCACUGCCCGGUAGCUAAAUGCGGAAGAGAUAAGUGCUGAAAGCAUCUAAGCACGAAACUUGCCCCGA
rnacentral:rRNA from 1 species